AAGCCGCUGAACCACUCAGCCAUGCCCGAGGGAGCCCGUGGACUGGGCCUGUCCAAACCCAGCCCUAGCCUCGGCCACAGAGGUGAAGUGUGUGACUGUGCGGCUGUGUGUGACACUCGGACAGCCCCUGCCACCCCCGCCAUGACCUCCCCACGAGGUUCUGGGAGCUCCACGUCCUUGAGCACUGUGGGCUCUGAGGGGGACCCGGCUCCGGGCCCCACCCCAGCCUGCUCAGCCUCGAGGCCAGAGCCCCUUCCAGGGCCCCCCAUCCGCCUGCAUCUGUCACCUGUGGGGACCUCGGGUUCUUCGAAACCCUCGAGGCUGGAGCGUGUGGCCCGUGAGAUUGUGGAGACAGAGCGGGCCUACGUCCGGGACCUCCGAAGCAUCGUGGAGGACUACCUGGGCCCUCUGCUGGAUGGCGGGGUUCUGGGGCUGAGUGCGGAGCAGGUGGGCACACUGUUUGCCAACAUCGAGGACAUCUACGAGUUCAGCAGUGAGCUCCUGGAAGACCUGGAGGGCAGCAGCAGCGCCGGGGGCAUCGCUGAGUGCUUUGUGCAGAGGAGCGAGGAUUUCGACAUCUACACAUUGUACUGCAUGAACUACCCGAGCUCCCUGGCCCUACUCCGGGAGCUGUCACUGUCCCCACCAGCAGCCAUGUGGCUGCAAGAGCGCCAGGCCCAGCUCCAUCACUCGCUGCCCCUGCAGAGCUUCCUGUUGAAGCCUGUCCAGCGCAUCCUCAAGUACCAUCUGCUGCUGCAGGAGCUGGGCAAGCACUGGGCGGAGGGCCCAGAUGCCGGGGGCCGCGAGAUGGUGGAGGAGGCUAUUGUGUCCAUGACAGCGGUCGCCUGGUACAUCAAUGACAUGAAACGCAAGCAGGAGCAUGCUGCGCGCCUCCAGGAGGUGCAACGGCGCCUGGGCGGCUGGACCGGUCCAGACCUCAGCGCUUUUGGGGAGCUAGUGCUGGAGGGCGCAUUCCGAGGUGGUGGAGGGAGCGGCCCCCGACUCCGAGGGGGUGAACGGCUGCUCUUUCUGUUCUCACGGAUGCUGCUCGUGGCCAAGCGCCGGGGACCGGAAUACACCUACAAGGGCCACAUCUUCUGCUGCAACCUGAGUGUGAGCGAGAACCCUCGAGACCCUCUAGGGUUCAAGGUGUCCGAUCUGACCAUUCCCAAGCACAGGCACCUGCUCCAGGCCAGGAACCAAGAAGAGAAGAGGCUGUGGAUUCACUGUCUCCAGCGCCUCUUCUUUGAGAACCACCCCGCCUCCAUCCCUGCCAAGGCAAAACAAGUCCUCCUUGAAAACAGCCUGCACUGUGCUCCUAAAAGCAAGCCUAUCCCAGAGCCCCUUACACCCCCACUUGGGUCUCCCUGCCCGCGAGAUGCUAGAAGUUUCACUCCUGGACGACGGAACACAGCUCCAUCACCAGGACCCACCGCUACCCGUCGCGGCCGCAGACAGUCUGAGCCUCUAAAGGACCUUUACGUCAUGUUGCCACACAGCGCUAAGCCUAGACUCAAGCACACCGGCAGUGCGGGGGAGCUCUACCCGCCCCUGGAGCCUCAGCCACCAAGUCCCACUUCUGGACCCCCUGAGGACCUGGAGGACACAGGACCCCCCACGCUGGACCCUUCUGGGCCCUCAAUCACUGAAGAAAUCCUGGAGCUCCUGAACCAAAGAGGCCUCCGGGAUCCGGGGCCACCCCAUGAUGUUCCCAAGUUCCCCGGAGACUCCCAAGUGCCAGGCGACAGUGACACCCUCACAUUCCAAGGCCUGCCCAGCCGAGACUCUUCAGAAGAGGAGGAGGAAGAAGAACUGGACAUGGAUGAACGGGAGCCUUCCCCACUCCACGUCCUGGAGGGGCUCGAAGGUUCCAGUGCGGCUGAAAUUGCCGACAUUCCCAGCCUUUCCAAAAGCCCCGACAGACCCAGCCUCCCUGAAGUGCCCAGCCUUUCUGAAAUUCCCCAGAUGCCCCGCCUCCCUAGCCUCUCUGACAUUUCCAGUGUUUUUGAAAUGCCCUGCCUUCCAGCCAUUCCUAGCGUCCCCGACAUUCCUAGUCUUUCCAGCGCUCCCGCCCUCCCCUGUGAUUCCUGGCUCCAGGGACCCCCGCAGGAGCUGGAUGAGACUCUAGCCACCCGGAGAGAACUUUUCCCCGGAAACACUUCUGGAAAACUGGGCGAGCCCUCCUCAGAAGGCAGGGCAGGGCGAGAGGAGGAUGAAGGAGGAUCAUUCCCAGAAUUCCAGCCCCCAGAUGUCACCCGGGAUCAGGGAUUCUCACAUGAGUUGGAGUUCCGCUCUUGCUCUGAAAUCCGGAGCGCCUGGCAGGCCCUGGAGCAGGGGCAGCUGGCCCGGCCGGGUUUUCCUGAGCCACUGCUGAUCCUGGAAGACUCGGACCUGAGUGGAGGCAGUGGCAGUGCAGGAGGGAAGGCGGGAGUCCCGACUUCGGAGAGGUCAGCAUCCCGAGUGCGAGAGUUAGCCCGGCUUUACAGCGAGCGGAUCCAGCACAUGCAGCGGGCUGAGACCCGGGCAUCGGCCAACGCACCCCGCCGCAGGCCUCGGGCUCUGGCCCAGCCGCAGCUGUUACCUGGCCUGUCCCAGGAGCAGGCUGAGCCAGGACCCCUGCCUGCCUUUGGACAUGUGCUGGUGUGUGAGCUGGCCUUCCCUCUGACCUGUGCCCAGGAAUCUGUCUCCCUCAGCCCUGCUGCCCGGGUUCAAGCUGCCACACCCUUGACUAAGCAGGGAGGCUGCCAGGACAGCCAGGGUCUACAUGUUUCAAGUUUGCCUGAGCAAGACCAUCUGAGCCUCCAGGUUCCAGCUGCUACCCCCCUGCCUGAGCAAGGAAGCCUCUGGAAUACCCAGAUUCCAGCCGCCACACCUUUGCUGGAAGAGGAAGACCCCCCAGACAGCCAGGCUGCAGCUAUUACAAUUUCACCAGAUCGAGGCCACCUGGAAAUCCAAGUGCCAGCUGCCACUCCUUUGCAGGAGCAUAGAGACCACGUGGGUACUCAGGUUCCUUCUAGCACCUCAUCUCCUGAGCAAAGAGGCCAUGUGGACGUCCAGCUUCCCACCAACCCAGCUUCACCCAAGCGGGGCAGUUCCUCUGAUGUCACGGUUUCAGCCACCAGUCCUGCACCCAAGCAAGAAGGCUGCUGGGACAGCCAGAGCCCAACCAACACCCCUGUAACUAAGCCAGGAGGCUGCAGGGAUGUUCAGUCCCCAGCUACUGCCUGUGGGCCAGCCGUCGAUCCUUCGCUCAUACACAGAAGCAGCCUGGACCCUCAGAUCCCAGCUGACACCCCACUGCCCUUGCAGCGUGACCUCCCAGACAUUCAGGUUCCGGGUACCUCACCUUUGCCUGUACACAGAGGCCACUUGGACCGUCAGAACCCAGCUGAUGCCCCACCAUCCUUGCCCCAGGAACCCCCCGAUUUUCAGGUUCCAGCUACCACACCUUUGCCCCAGACAGCAAGCCUCACGGACACGGAUGCCCAGGUCCAAGCCCUCCUGCCUUUGCCCCAGCAGGGAGGUCUCCGAGACAUCCAGGGUCGUGCCGCUGCACCUUGGCUUCAGGAACAAAGCCUCACAGACCUCCAGGUUCAGAAGCUGACACCUUUGUUGGAAAGGAAGGGCCUCACGAAUGACCAGGUUCCAGCCACCGCACCUUUGCCUGAGCAAGGAGGCCCUAUGGACACUCAGGGCCCGUUACCCACCCCAGUCCAGACCACCGUGCUUUUGGCCAAACAAGGAGGCCCCUCGGUCUCUCACGCUGCCAGAUCAGAGUCUUCAGACUUGACCCCACCCCACAGUCCCCCACCCCCAACACGGAAGCUCCUGGGCCCCAAUGCGGCUGCCCUUUCAAGAUACCUGGCAGCUUCGUACAUCAGCCAGAGCCUGGCUCGGCGACAGGGGCCUGGAGGAGAGGCUCCCCCAGCCUCCCGGGGCCCUUGGUCCUCCUCUGCCCCCACAUCACGGGCACCUUCACCGCCACCCCAGCCCCAACCCCCACCACCCCCAGCCCGGAGGCUCAGCUAUGCCACCACGGUCAACAUCCAUGUCGGAGGUGGCGGGCGGCUACGGCCAGCCAAGGCCCAGGUCAGGUUGAACCAUCCUGCUCUCUUGGCAACCCCUCAAGAAUCUGUGGGUCUCCGCAGAGCCCAGGGGGGCCCCGAUGCCCCUUUCCACAUGUGA
rnacentral:lncRNA from 1 species